CGGGGCGUAGCGCAGUUUGGUAGCGCACAUGGUUUGGGACCAUGGGGCCGGGGGUUCGAAUCCCUCCGCCCCGACCA
rnacentral:tRNA from 1 species